GAGGUAAAUUUCUCCUAAGGCUAAAUAUUGGCGAGAGACCGAUAGCGAACAAGUACCGUGAGGGAAAGAUGAAAAGAACUUUGAAAAGAGAGUUAAACAGUACGUGAAAUUGUUGAAAGGGAAACGAUUGAAGUCAGUCGUACCGGCGGGAAAUCAACCUUUCGAGUGGAAUCUUGGGGCUUUAAAGAGUUUCAAAGCCUUUUGGGUUUCAAGUUUUCAUUCUUUUGGUGUACUUUCUCGUAGGUAGGUCAACAUCGAUUUUGAAUAUCAUAAAAAGACUGGAGGAAUGUAGCUUCGAU
rnacentral:rRNA from 1 species